CUGCCAAGAAAAUCUUCUAGCGAGGUUCGAGCCGCCCGUACCCCAAACCGACUCAGGUGGUUAGGUAGAGAAUACCUAGGCGAUCGAGUGAAUCGUGGUUAAGGAAUUCGGCAAAAUGCCCCCGUAACUUCGGGAGAAGGGGGGCCCGGAACCUGAAGUGACUUGCUCACUAGGGUGAAGGGCCGCAGAGACCAGGGAGAAGCGACUGUUUACUAAAAACACAGGUCCGUGCGAAGUCGCAAGACGAUGUAUACGGACUGACGCCUGCCCGGUGCUGGAAGGUUAAGAGGACCGGUUAGACCGUAAGGUCGAAGCUGAGAAUUUAAGCCCCAGUAAACGGCGGUGGUAACUAUAACCAUCCUAAGGUAGCGAAAUUCCUUGUCGGGUAAGUUCCGACCUGCACGAAUGGCGUAACGACUUCUCCACUGUCUCAACCGCGAACUCGGCGAAAUUGCACUACGAGUAAAGAUGCUCGUUACGCGCAGCAGGACGGAAAAACCCCGGGACCUUUACUAUAGCUUGGUAUUGGUGUUCGGUACGGCUUGUGUAGGAUAGGUGGGAGACUGUGAAGCAUGCACGCCAGUGUGUGUGGAGUCAACGUUGAAAUACCACUCUGGUCGUUCUGGAUAUCUAACCUCGGUCCGUGAUCCGGAUCAGGGACAGUGCCUGGUGGGUAGUUUAACUGGGGCGGUUGCCUCCUAAAAGGUAACGGAGGCGCUCAAAGGUUCCCUCAGCCUGGUUGGCAAUCAGGUUUCGAGUGUAAGUGCACAAGGGAGCUUGACUGCGAGAGAGACAUCUCGAGCAGGGACGAAAGUCGGAACUAGUGACCCGGCGGUGGCUUGUGGAAGCGCCGUCGCUCAACGGAUAAAAGGUACCCCGGGGAUAACAGGCUGAUCUUGCCCAAGAGUCCAUAUCGACGGCAUGGUUUGGCACCUCGAUGUCGGCUCGUCGCAUCCUGGGGGUGGAGUUGCUCCCAAGGGUUGGGCUGUUCGCCCAUUAAAGCGGUACGCGAGCUGGGUUUAGAACGUCGUGAGACAGUUCGGUCCCUAUCCGCUGUGCGCGUAGGAAACUUGAGAAGGGCUGACCCCCUACGAGAGGACCGGGUUGGACGAACCUCUGGUGUGUCAGUUGCCCUGCCAAGGGCACCGCUGAUUAGCUACGUUCGGAAGUGAUAACCGCUGAAAGCAUCUAAGCGGGAAGCACGCUUCAAGAUGAGGUUUCCAUGCACCGUUAGGUGUGAGAGGCUCCCGGCUAGACUACCGGGUUGAUAGGCCAGGCGUGGAAGUGCAGCAAUGCAUGUAGCUGACUGGUACUAAUAAGCCGACAAC
rnacentral:rRNA from 1 species